GAUGAAGAACGUAGCGAAAUGCGAUAAGUAAUGUGAAUUGCAGAAUUCAGUGAAUCAUCGAAUCUUUGAACGCACAUUGCGCCCGCCAGUAUUCUGGCGGGCAUGCCUGUCCGAGCGUCAUUUCAACCAUCAAGUCCCGGGCUUGUGUUGGGGACCUGCGUCCGACGCAGGCCCUGAAAACCAGUGGCGGGCUCGCUGUCCACACCGAGCGUAGUAACUAACCUCGCUAUGGAGUGGCGCGGGCGCCUGCCGUAAAACCCCCAAUUUUUACAAGGUUGACCUCGGAUCAGGUAGGAAUACCCGCUGAACUUAAGCAUAUCAAUAAGCGGAGGA
rnacentral:misc_RNA from 1 species